UGGGGAAUAUUGCACAAUGGGGGAAACCCUGAUGCAGCGACGCCGCGUGAGCGAAGAAGUAUUUCGGUAUGUAAAGCUCUAUCAGCAGGGAAAGAAAAAAUGACGGUACCUGAGUAAGAAGCACCGGCUAAAUACGUGCC
rnacentral:rRNA from 1 species